AUUAGGGGAAAAGCACAAUACAAGCAGACGUUGAAAAUCAUACAGAAAAUAGUUUGUUUGUAUGGAAUGUAAAAAAGUGGUUAUUUAGCCGAAUAACUUUUCCUGUGUUCCAUGUGUAAACAGUCUCUGAAAUUCAUUGGUCUGUACAGAGUAAAUUCGAUAUAGUUUUGGAAAUAUUUUAAAAUACAGUGCCAGCUUUGUAAUCGUAUAAACCAGGUCUACUCAGGACGGACAGCAACAUCGGAAUGAAGCAUUAGAAAGUUAACGAAGGCUGAGAAAUACAUGGGCACUUGAUUCGGCAGAAAUAAAAUAACAAAAUUCAGGUUCCGUUACAGUCUGAAUAAAGCCAGCCCCGAGUAUCCACUUGCGUCUACAAACGCAAGUUGAUAGUUGAGGCUGGCUGUAGUCAGACCGGUUCCGUGUUCCCUGAUUCCGUUAUAAUUUUUUUCUCGAAAUUUACAUGCAAACGACUGACUUUUUAUUAUUCAAACGGCAAG
rnacentral:lncRNA from 1 species